rnacentral:rRNA from 1 species
CCUCGAUGUCGGCUCGUCACAUCCUGGGGCUGGAGAAGGUCCCAAGGGUUGGGCUGUUCGCCCAUUAAAGUGGCACGCGAGCUGGGUUCAGAACGUCGCGAGACAGUUCGGUCCCUAUCUGUUGCGGGCGUUAGAAGCUUGAGAGGAGCUGACCCUAGUACGAGAGGACCGGGUCGGACGAACCUCUGGUGUACCUGUUGUGGCGCCAGCUGCACCGCAGGGUAGCCAUGUUCGGACGGGAUAAGCGCUGAAAGCAUCUAAGCGCGAAGCCCACCUCAAGAUGAGGCUUCUUUUAAGGGUCGUCGAAGAUUACGACGUUGAUAGGCCACAGGUGUAAAGUCAGUAAUGGCAAAGCCGAGUGGUACUAAUUACCCGUAGCUUACUGUU